rnacentral:lncRNA from 1 species
UUGGUACAGUAUACUUUACUGAUGGUACAUGACACAGUAGGGUUCCCCAAGUCCCUCCCUUCUUUAGAGGAUCUGGGAUGGAAACUGUGUAGAGGACAUGAGAUUCUCAGUAUGUUAGGGGAUGAGUUGGGGUAAAGAUUCCCCAGCAGCUGAGAAUCUUUCUCUUCCUUUCUCUUACUGGGACUGGUGGUCCAGGAGGCUAUUACUCCUUAGAGGCUACAUGGACCAUAAUGUCCACCACUUGGUUGCUAUAGCCAAAUUCACUGUCAUACCAGGAAAUGAGCUUGACAAAGAGGUCACUGAGAGCUAGGCUAGCCCCAGUGUCGAAGGUAGAAGAAUGAGUGUCACUGUUAAAGUUAUAGGAGACAAACUGAUUCUCCAUGUAGCCCAGGAUGCCCUUGAGGGGGCCUCUGAUGCCUGCUUCACCACCUUCUAGAUGUCAUCAUAUUUGGCAGCUUUCUCCAGGAUGCACGU